rnacentral:rRNA from 1 species
AACGAACGCUGGCGGCAUGCCUAACACAUGCAAGUCGAACGAAGGCUUCGGCCUUAGUGGCGCACGGGUGAGUAACACGUGGGAACCUGCCUUUCGGUUCGGAAUAACGUUUGGAAACGAACGCUAACACCGGAUACGCCCUAUGGGGGAAAGUUUACGCCGAGAGAGGGGCCCGCGUCGGAUUAGGUAGUUGGUGAGGUAAAGGCUCACCAAGCCUUCGAUCCGUAGCUGGUCUGAGAGGAUGAUCAGCCACACUGGGACUGAGACACGGCCCAGACUCCUACGGGAGGCAGCAGUGGGGAAUAUUGGACAAUGGGCGCAAGCCUGAUCCAGCAAUGCCGCGUGAGUGAUGAAGGCCUUAGGGUUGUAAAGCUCUUUCGCACGCGACGAUGAUGACGGUAGCGUGAGAAGAAGCCCCGGCUAACUUCGUGCCAGCAGCCGCGGUAAUACGAAGGGGGCUAGCGUUGUUCGGAAUUACUGGGCGUAAAGGGCGCGUAGGCGGCCUGUUUAGUCAGAAGUGAAAGCCCCGGGCUCAACCUGGGAAUAGCUUUUGAUACUGGCAGGCUUGAGUUCCGGAGAGGAUGGUGGAAUUCCCAGUGUAGAGGUGAAAUUCGUAGAUAUUGGGAAGAACACCGGUGGCGAAGGCGGCCAUCUGGACGGACACUGACGCUGAGGCGCGAAA